UCUAAAACAAAACACUCUCUGGCUCUCAGAUCUGAUACCUUCCCCUUGAAGCUUUAUCUCCGAUCUACCAAUAAAGAAACAAAAAUGGCCUCUGCCAGAGAAGAGUUCGUUUACCUUGCGAAGCUUGCGGAGCAAGCAGAGCGAUAUGAAGAAAUGGUUGAAUUCAUGGAGAAAGUCACAGAAGCCGUCGACAAAGACGAACUCACCGUGGAGGAACGCAACCUCCUCUCCGUUGCUUACAAAAACGUCAUCGGCGCUCGUCGUGCCUCGUGGCGCAUCAUCUCCUCCAUCGAGCAGAAGGAAGAGAGCCGCGGCAACGAUGACCACGUCAACACGAUCCGUGACUACAGAAGCAAGAUCGAAACGGAGCUCUCCAAAAUCUGCGACGGUAUCCUUAAGCUUCUGGAUACGAGACUUAUCCCGGCUUCUGCAAACGGAGAUUCCAAGGUUUUCUACCUUAAGAUGAAGGGAGAUUACCAUAGGUACUUGGCUGAGUUUAAGACCGCUCAGGAGAGGAAAGACGCCGCCGAGCACACCCUCACCGCUUACAAAGCCGCUCAGGACAUUGCUAACUCCGAAUUGGCUCCAACCCACCCGAUCCGUCUUGGUCUGGCCUUGAACUUCUCUGUCUUUUACUAUGAGAUUCUCAACUCUCCAGACCGUGCUUGCAGUCUCGCUAAGCAGGCGUUUGAUGAAGCAAUUGCUGAGUUGGAUACUCUAGGCGAGGAGUCAUACAAGGACAGUACCUUGAUCAUGCAGCUUCUCCGUGACAACCUUACUCUCUGGACUUCCGACAUGCAGGUAACAGCUAAUAUUUAACCCUUGAAACUUGAUAAACUCUCUUUCUUUCUUUCUAGAAUUGACCACCAACAUUGUUCAUAAAUGGUCCACUUUUUGCAUUAUGAUAUUGAUGCGCUCAUCCUUCCUUGUUCAAAUAUGAUUAUGAUGUGUUUGUUUGAAUGAUACGAACCAGGACGAAAGUACUGAGGAGAUCAAAGAAGAUGCAGCACCCAAGCCUGCUGAAGAACAGAAGGAGACCUAAGUCCGUGUCCUGCUUUGUUAUCCAGUAUUCUAAAAUUAUCCAACAAUUGUGUUUUCCCGCUUUGUGGUUGUUUUCUAAUCUCUUCGUUAUGUUAUCCUCGAAGCUUCUAAGGCCGUCUAUUCUUGUCCUUUGUUUGCUCUUCCUAAUCCUGGAUGCUGCUGGAUUUUUAUCUGGUUUUAUUUUCUUAUUCAUUGCUUUUCGGCUUGUGCCUUGUUCUGAAUUCAUAUCAUCUUCGUAUUAAUGAUUUGUCAGUUCU